rnacentral:rRNA from 1 species
GCGUGGAGGACGAAGGCCCUCGGGUUGUAAACUCCUGUCAGAUGGGACGAAUAGGUUUGGCUCAAUAGGUCAGACCCUUGACGGUACCAUCAGAGGAAGCCCCGGCUAACUCCGUGCCAGCAGCCGCGGUAAUACGGAGGGGGCUAGCGUUAUUCGGAAUUAUUGGGCGUAAAGGGCACGUAGGCGGCCCGCCAAGUCGUAGGUGAAAUCCCUCGGCUCAACCGAGGAACUGCCUGCGAUACUGUCGGGCUUGAGGCCGGGAGGGGGUAGCGGAAUUCCCAGUGUAGCGGUGAAAUGCGU